ensembl:lncRNA
GCACAGAGGAUGUAUUAACCACACAUCUUCUAGCAAUGCGCUCAACUGGCAGAAAUGAUGCUGGGUAUGAUGUGUCUGUUCCCUGCAAGCCCCAAACUUCUAUUGGCUUUCCAUAAAAAUGUCUGUCCGGGUGGAGAUGAAGCCAGGAAACUUGUGCAAGAACAUGUUUAAAUGCCGUACCCUUUGACACAACAUUAACAACUAUAAACUGCUUUAUAAUGGCUGGUCGUAGUUCUGCUAGAGGGUCACGGACGGGUUCCUCAAAACUGUUAGUGUUUCCACAUCACGUAGCAUAAACACAUGCUGACCUUUAUGCUCUGCAUCUAUCGAUUGAGUAAGUUACAUUCGUAUAUGUUACCCGUUUACAUGUCAUGGCAAAACAUUCAACCUCAGUGACACAAGGGUACAUCUGAUGAUACAUUGUCAACAUUGCAUGUCUGUCAGACUCAAGAGUGUCUGGUGGAAUGGAGAAAGAGGCACCACUGUACAGGUUUCUAGGGAAAGUCGUUCUGCUGACACCAAAACACUGCUUUACAUAAAGCAUAUCAGCUGUUUCAUUGCACGACAAAGUCCCAACCAUUUGUCUUCCUAAAAUACUGGUCCUUCCGUAUAACAAUAACCUCGUAUGUGAUUGGAGGACCCUUAGACUCCUCGUCCAAUCACGUCUGAGGUCAUAGGCGUGACUGAUACAGCAGUACUUGCAAGACGAGCAUGCAAACGUGUUACUAUAUUCAGAAGAACUGUAUCUCCAGUUCCUUUGUUUGGUUUUUGCUGCUUCGUGAAUAAUGGCGGGACGACGUCUCGCGUUCAACUCGCCUUCAACUCCUCUCCGCGGUCACCAACUUUCGGCCAGUCCGCAGACAGACAGAAGAAGCUGCUGAAUGCUCUCAGUGGAUCGUCUCGUCAACUCCAACAACAAACCGCCGAUAUCAACGAGCGGUUCGCUCCACUGGAGCGUUCGGGACUCUGCGGGUUUCUGUCCAUGGAGGAGAGGAACCGACUCAAAGAAGAGGAGACGGGCGCACAAUCCCACGAUAGCGGAAGCGGUGCGCCGUCUUCACAACUCUGAGACGAACUACAGGCGCUACGAACCGGAGCAAGGACUAACCUCGCCUCAUAAUGAGGCGGUGACCUCGUAUUUGCUCCGGGAAAAGUCCAGAUUUAGACGACGUCAUUGUGUCCGCCUGUGAGACGUAUUUUGAGACGUACGCAGGAGCUUCAGCUGCGAAGGAUUCAGCGCGGAGUCGAGCGAGGAGAAAGAGGCUGCUGGAAUCGAGACAAAGUGUGCUGGCUGAUGACGAGGUGGAACGCUGGAAAUCCGCCACCGUGGAGCUCACGUCGGACGGAGGGGACGGCGUUGUUGGCGGGGUCUCGGGGUGGAUUGUACGGUCGACACACACACACGAGCCGCCUGCACAACAGACCUGCCUCGGAAAACACGGCGCCAGUGACGGUCAACAACCCCGAGGAGGCAAACGGACAGUUUACUGAGCUGUAGUUUUUAAACCGCCGUUACCCAAGUGUGGGCAGAUCCUCACUUUGUAUGUAGUUGUUGUUU